rnacentral:lncRNA from 1 species
UGAGAGCUCAAUGGGACUGUCAACCUGAAAAAAAGCAGCUUGUAGGCUGCAACUACCGCUGCUGCUACUGCUGCUGUUACUUCUGUAGCUAUUGUUACUGUUGCUGCAGUUGUUAUGUUGUAAUUGUUAGGAGUGGAAAUAUAUUCAAACGCCUCGCUCAUUUAUCGCCAAUGGCGUGGAAGGUGUGUCCAAGGUAUUUUGGCUUUUUCUCUUUUUGCGGUCACGACUUGUUAAGCCUAUCUGAUCUACAUCGAUAGUUGACGCGAAUGUUUCCUGUCGAAAAAAGAAGGCUUUCUGAUAUUAUAUCGGGGAUAAGAAAAGGAAUGAAACAGGGCUUGAUAUUUCAAAGAAUAUACAUAUCCUGUUAUACUGUAAGGAGUACAGAGAACAGUGGAAUGUCUGCUGUGUAAUGCUACAACACAUCUUGGACCCGUCCCCGUCUACGGAAUAGUUAUGGCUUUACUAAUUUUCUUCAGCAUCGAGAUCUUAAUCUAUUGAUAUGUAAGUCAGAAGAUUUGGGU